AUGGGGUUUCACCAUGUUGCCCAGGUUGGUCUCAAACUCCUGGGACCAGUCUGGCCAACAUGGUGAAACCUCAU
rfam:Papio anubis isolate 1X1155 chromosome 1, whole genome shotgun sequence.